rnacentral:tRNA from 1 species
GGGGAUUAAUUUAAUUUAUUUGCAAUAAAUUUUUUACAUUUAAAUGUACAUCCUCA